AGACCCGAAACCCGGUGAUCUAGCCAUGGGCAGGUUGAAGGUUGGGUAACACUAACUGGAGGACCGAACCGACUAAUGUUGAAAAAUUAGCGGAUGACCUGUGGCUGGGGGUGAAAGGCCAAUCAAACCGGGAGAUAGCUGGUUCUCCCCGAAAGCUAUUUAGGUAGCGCCUCGUGAAUUCAUCUCCGGGGGUAGAGCACUGUUUCGGCUAGGGGGCCAUCCCGGCUUACCAACCCGAUGCAAACUGCGAAUACCGGAGAAUGUUAUCACGGGAGACACACGGCGGGUGCUAACGUCCGUCGUGAAGAGGGAAACAACCCAGACCGCCAGCUAAGGUCCCAAAGUCAUGGUUAAGUGGGAAACGAUGUGGGAAGGCCCAGACAGCCAGGAUGUUGGCUUAGAAGCAGCCAUCAUUUAAAGAAAGCGUAAUAGCUCACUGGUCGAGUCGGCCUGCGCGGAAGAUGUAACGGGGCUAAACCAUGCACCGAAGCUGCGGCAGCGAACGUAUCACCCAAGACAACUUUACGGAGUUGACGAUUGACGGAGCGAAGCGACGUCAAAGCGUUCAUUAAAGUCGAGUUGGCUUAGGGAUACGUUCGUUGGGUAGGGGAGCGUUCUGUAAGCCUGUGAAGGUGUGUCGUGAGGCAUGCUGGAGGUAUCAGAAGUGCGAAUGCUGACAUAAGUAACGAUAAAGCGGGUGAAAAGCCCGCUCGCCGGAAGACCAAGGGUUCCUGUCCAACGUUAAUCGGGGCAGGGUGAGUCGACCCCUAAGGCGAGGCCGAAAGGCGUAGUCGAUGGGAAACGGGUUAAUAUUCCCGUACUUGGUGUUACUGCGAAGGGGGGACGGAGAAGGCUAUGUUGGCCGGGCGACGGUUGUCCCGGUUUAAGCGUGUAGGUGUGUGUUCCAGGUAAAUCCGGUUCACUUUAACACUGAGGCGUGACGACGAGGCACUACGGUG
rnacentral:rRNA from 3 species